UGUAAAGUGCCACAAUCCAACCCUGCUUACUCCGUUAUUAUUUUCUACGCGACCCAACCUUGCAUUCCAUCGUUCAAGAUGGCCGCCAAUAGUUAGGUUUUUCGGGUUUAUUGUUCCUUAUCUUUUUCUUUGUUGUAAUUGUUAAAAUAUUAAUGUAAAGUUAUUCAAAAAGUGAUUAUUUUGAGCAAAGAAUAUCUAGAAUGAUGAUUAUAAUGUAGAUGUCAAAGAUUAUUGAGGAUUAAAAUGUGAGGAACGUAAAAUGUUUUCGACAAGAUACAAAAAAAAGACGAACAUUGUCCUCAAGGAACGGCGAAAAAAAAUAAGGAAAAUAUAAUUUUACGAUUCACAAAAAAGGAAAUCGAAGAUAAACGAGUAUUCCAAGCAAAGCUGUUAAGCAAAAGCCCUGAACAAUGCAAUUUAUUCUUAUGAUUUCUUGCUUGCGGUAAAUAACGGAGUUCGAUUAUCGUCAUAUCCUGGAGGACUUUAUUUGAAGCGGCGCCUCGAGAAAGGUUUUCUUCUAUUCUUCUUCUUUCAACCACUCUAAAUCUAAAAUGAGUAUGAAGGGAAAAAGAUGUGGAAUCCGAGGCCUGAAAUUGCGGAAUAACUUUUAUUCCCACUGUUUGAUGGAUGUCGGUUAAAAUUCUAAAUCUGAAUCAGUAUGGAGGGAAAAAGCUGUGGAAUCCGAGAUCUAAAAUUGCGGACCAACUUUUAUUUCAACUAUUUGAUGGAUGUCGCCUAAAACUAUAGGAGGAUUCCCAAAUUGCUGUUUUCAUCUUUUAUUAACGGUUUUUAUGCUCAGUUUUUAUACGAGCUGAACGAGUUUCCUUCGCGGUGGGUCAACUGACAGCAAUUCACCUAAUGACAGUUGGACAACUUGUAACUGUAUAUAAUUACUCCAACUGUGUGAGAUCUCAUUCUCUAAAUUCGCUAAUGGCUGCAUUUUCCAAUUUCGUGAUAUGAUUACAUCCUGGAAACACCUUGCCCAAGGCGAACUAGAACCAGCCAUUAUAGGCGGAUGACCUGUGGGUUUAGAAACUCUACUAUCAGUGCAAUGCGUGUACAUUUUCUCGUUCCAGGCGUGUGGAAACGUGUACUGGAGGAAACUUCUAGCAAAGGAAGCUGACAAAGUUGCAGUGUUCUAUAUGUGUUUUUGUGUUCGAGGAGCAAUUUGUGGCAGGAAGGAAGAAAGAAAGGAAGGAUAGUGGAAGAAGAAAAUCCGUUACCGAAGAGGAACAUGAUUGAAGGAGGAAUACAAGCUGUCCUCACGAGAAGGCGCGAUGACAUGACAUUCAACGAACGUCGUGGGAUUCAUCGUCCAUUGAGUCAUUUUUUUGGUUCUUUAAAAUCCUUCCCUGUUUUUGUUUUUUCGUGAAACAAGUUUUUCUUUCUUUAAAGUCAAUCAAUUUUUAUCAAUUGAAUUAUUAACUUAAAAACAAAUUUUGAAUAUUUCUUUCAAAGUUUUUUUCAAUAGUAAAACAGUAAAGUAGGGGGCCAUUCAAGUAUUAGGUAACAAUAUUCUUAAGGUUUUUUUAACCUCCCCCCUUUAUCUUACGUAAGAUUAUUUCCCACCCCCCUAUUUUUAUUAUUUUACAUUUAAAAUAAUCUUAGGUAGGAUUCUAAACCCCCCCUCUGUCCCAAAAAUUCUUAUGUAAUACUUGAAAGGACCCUAGUAAAACGGUAAAUUAGAUUUGCACAAGAGAGUAACUAGCCAAUACGAAUCUAAGAGAAGCGGCUCCCCACCUCUUGCGGUUCGCGUCUCCCCUCUCCCUGACUCUCUACCCAACGCACAAUUUUUGUUUAGAUUCGCAUGGUGGGGGGAGUACUUCUCCUAUUCUCGUUCUCACUAGCUAAUCACUUGUAUAAUGAAUGGAUGAAAAUUUUUUUAAAAGAAACAGGGAAGGAAAAAAACAACAUAGUGACACCACUGACAAAAUGUAUUCUUUUUUUUUUGAAGUAUUUUUGAGUACUGGGUGACAAAAAUUAAUAUCUUUUUGUCAGUGUUUAUUUUUACUGUUUAUAUUA